AGAGUUUGAUCCUGGCUCAGGACGAACGCUGGCGGCGUGCUUAACACAUGCAAGUCGAGCGAUGAAGCUCCUUCGGGAGUGGAUUAGCGGCGGACGGGUGAGUAACACGUGGGUAACCUGCCUCAUAGAGGGGAAUAGCCUUUCGAAAGGAAGAUUAAUACCGCAUAAGAUUGUAGUACCGCAUGGUACAGCAAUUAAAGGAGUAAUCCGCUAUGAGAUGGACCCGCGUCGCAUUAGCUAGUUGGUGAGGUAACGGCUCACCAAGGCGACGAUGCGUAGCCGACCUGAGAGGGUGAUCGGCCACAUUGGGACUGAGACACGGCCCAGACUCCUACGGGAGGCAGCAGUGGGGAAUAUUGCACAAUGGGGGAAACCCUGAUGCAGCAACGCCGCGUGAGUAAUGACGGUCUUCGGAUUGUAAAGCUCUGUCUUUAGGGACGAUAAUGACGGUACCUAAGGAGGAAGCCACGGCUAACUACGUGCCAGCAGCCGCGGUAAUACGUAGGUGGCAAGCGUUGUCCGGAUU
rnacentral:rRNA from 1 species